AUUGUUGCCUGAGCCUUACUACCUCAUCACUGUGUUCAGAACUUUCUUCCCUGUGAUCCUGAUCCGGGUCAAUGAGCGAAUUUUCAAUCUCCCUGCUAGCCAUGGCGAGCUUUGCUUUGGAUCUAAUGAAGUAUGGGUGACUAGCCAGAGUGCUGCAAACCUACCACUGUUAUCUGAAAGAACAUGCUCAUCAAAGACGACAUCUGUUAGGAUUAGGGCACACAACAAGCAUGGGAAUCACAUUGGUAAAAUUGUCCCAAAUUCAUAUUCAUUUCUACUAGCUUUUGA
rnacentral:lncRNA from 1 species